GAUGAACGCUGGCGGCGUGCCUAAUACAUGCAAGUCGAGCGAACGGACGAGAAGCUUGCUUCUCUGAUGUUAGCGGCGGACGGGUGAGUAACACGUGGAUAACCUACCUAUAAGACUGGGAUAACUUCGGGAAACCGUAGCUAAUACCGGAUAAUAUUUUGAACCGCAUGGUUCAAAAGUGAAAGACGGUCUUGCUGUCACUUAUAGAUGGAUCCGCGCUGCAUUAGCUAGUUGGUAAGGUAACGGCUUACCAAGGCAACGAUGCAUAGCCGACCUGAGAGGGUGAUCGGCCACACUGGAACUGAGACACGGUCCAGACUCCUACGGGAGGCAGCAGUAGGGAAUCUUCCGCAAUGGGCGAAAGCCUGACGGAGCAACGCCGCGUGAGUGAUGAAGGUCUUCGGAUCGUAAAACUCUGUUAUUAGGGAAGAACAUAUGUGCAAGUAACUGUGCACAUCUUGACGGUACCUAAUCAGAAAGCCACGGCUAACUACGUG
rnacentral:rRNA from 1 species